rnacentral:rRNA from 1 species
GACGAACCGAGCGAACGUUGUUCGGAAUCACUGGGCUUAAAGGGCGCGUAGGCGGGCCAUCAAGUCAGGGGUGAAAUCCUCCGGCUCAACCGGAGAACAGCUUUUGAUACUGGUGGCCUCGAGUGGGGUAGGGGCAUGUGGAACUUCCGGUGGAGCGGUGAAAUGCGUAGAGAUCGGAAAGAACACCAACGGCGAAAGCACUCUGCUGGGCCGACACUGACACUGAGAGACGAAAGCUAGGGGAGCGAAUGGG